AUGGCAAUGAGUCAAAUCCAAAAAUAUAUUGCGAUCAUCUCGAUGAUGAUGAUGAUGAUAUUUACAAUACAAAUUGAGUGCAUCACUCAAUCUCAAGACUUUGAGAUAAACAAGCUCCCCAAAGGUUUAUGUAAAUUAAGGUGUUUUUUUUAUGACUGCAGCGCUAAAGUAGGUGUUGGUACUUCAGCUGCAUACAUAUGGUUCUUGUGGUGUUUACAUACAUUUCUUCAAACUUGGAGAGUUGCAAUAAUAAAUAUGUUUUACCAAAUGCCAUUCAAUAAAGUGUGCUCAUAA